rnacentral:sRNA from 1 species
UCCGACUGUGAAGGCAGCCAUACCAUGUUACAAGAAGGGAUAGGAAAAAGAAAAAAUGAGGAAAGAAAAAUAAAACUGUUUGUGACGCAACUAAUAAAUAUAGUGGAGAGAGACAUAGGGGGGACAUGCAACGGUAGUGAUAUAAGAAGUCCUUUGACCCGAGAAAUGGGUAUUGAAAGCCGCAGAGUGAACCGUCCAAGAAGCGAGAGGAAAUACAAUCAACAACAAUAAAGAUAAGAGAGAGAAAAACGAAUGCGAUCAACAACACCCACCCUUGCCUGACUCCAUCGCAUCAUUAACGCCCAGUGUAACAGUCCUCUGAGGGCGACCUCCACCACCCGCUCCCCCGGUAGCUCCAAACCCUUUAACUCCACUCCGCCGGUCAUUUAAGUCAUACCUGCCGGCCUCAAUGUUCCGGUAAAUUCGCUCCGCGACCUCCAGAAACGCUCUUUCAACCCCUUCCCCGGAUUUUGCACUCGUUUCCACGUACCGAGAUACAUUAUUCGCUCGGCACCAAGCCUCCGCUUCCUCUCUUGUAACUAUGGCUUCUUUAGGCUGUUUACCGCAGUCGCCAGUGCCAUCACUUCUCCCUUGAGAAGGCGCAGCAAGAUCACUCUUAUUUCCAACAAGGAUGACCACGAUACCUUCCUCGGCGAUCUGGUGUAGGUCCUGCAGCCAUUGCGUUAGGGAGGCGAAGGUGGAGGGUCGUGUGAUGUCGAAGACUAGGAGGGCACCGGACGCACCGCGGAAGUAUGAGCGAGUGAUAGAUUUAUACGAUUCUUGGCCCGCGGUGUCCCAGAGGGAGAGUUUCAUACGUUUCUGGACCGGUGGAGAUUGUUGUUUGCGGGGAAGGGAAGGCAAGCCAGAGGGUUGUUGUAGUAGUGGUUUUUGCUGAUAGGGUUUUGGUAUGGAACAAUCUCUGACGUCUAUUAACGUCGUUGGACCGAGGGAGUUGGAGGCGGCUGGGUUAGCGAUUCUCGUUUGUGGUGGUGGGAUAAUUGGAAGGUGGGAUGAUGGAGCAGGAGAAGGUGAUUGUGGAAGGUCAAAGUCUAUUCCCAAGGAAUCUGAGGCUGGGGGUCCGACGGGGACGAUGCGGGAGCCGAACUCGACACCGAUUGUUACAUCGUGGGAUGAGGAGAAACGACCUUCACAGAGGCGGAUGGUGAGCUGGGCAAAUAAGGGUUAGUUGGACGUAAUGUGAUAGAAAUACUCUAAGAUGAGAUGUAAGUUGGAAGGGGAGCACACGCUGGAUUUACCAGUGCCGGAAUCGCCAAUACAGACAAGCUUUGCGAUGUAAUCCCAUGGCUGCGACAUGAACACAACUACAAGUUAUCCGAAGGAGGAGCUAAAGGCAGAUUGUUCGGACAGCAGCCCAAAGAUAUUGCUGGGAAAUAGUGGCAGCCGCUAUUACAAAGAAGGAAAUAACCGUGAAGUGAAUACAACGGAGACGUAUGUACUGCGUAGAGAUUCGGAGAUAGGACGGUGAUCGGACAAGGCAGCGGAAUUGGACGGCGAUUGCAUUGCAAGAUGUGGGAUGGGAGGGAGAAAUCCAAAGCUGUGAGAUGGAGUUCUACCUAGGUAGUUGAGGAACCUGAGGCCGGGGAUGCUCAAAUCCGGGCAACCAGGUGGCUCAAUCCCAUCUGUCCUCUCGGUGGUGUACCCGUAACAUCGACAUCCUUACAACAUCACAAAUGUAGGGGUACAUUUGAAAUUUUCAUGUUUAUCACUUGUUUUCACAUAAUUUUCAUUCUCUAAUUCAUUCAAUAACAUUCUACGGAGGUCGGUUUCAAAAGUUUCGUUCAGCCAAGCUACUAUCUACGCCACGGAUAUACUAGUUGAAAUAUCAUAGAUACCACUA